AGAGUUUGAUCAUGGCUCAGAUUGAACGCUGGCGGCAGGCUUAACACAUGCAAGUCGAGCGGUAACAGGGGUAGCUUGCUACCCGCUGACGAGCGGCGGACGGGUGAGUAAUGCUUAGGAAUCUGCCCAGUAGUGGGGGAUAGCCCGGGGAAACCCGGAUUAAUACCGCAUACGUCCUACGGGAGAAAGCAGGGGAUCUUCGGACCUUGCGCUAUUGGAUGAGCCUAAGUCGGAUUAGCUAGUUGGUGGGGUAAAGGCCUACCAAGGCGACGAUCCGUAGCUGGUCUGAGAGGAUGAUCAGCCACAUCGGGACUGAGACACGGCCCGAACUCCUACGGGAGGCAGCAGUGGGGAAUAUUGGACAAUGGGGGCAACCCUGAUCCAGCCAUGCCGCGUGUGUGAAGAAGGCUUUCGGGUUGUAAAGCACCUUCAGUAGGGAGGAAAACCUUAUGGUUAAUACCCAUGAGGCUUGACGUUACCUACAGAAGAAGCACCGGCUAACUCCGUGCCAGCAGCCGCGGUAAUACGGAGGGUGCAAGCGUUAAUCGGAAUUACUGGGCGUAAAGCGCGCGUAGGUGGUUUGGUAAGCGAGAUGUGAAAGCCCCGGGCUUAACCUGGGAACGGCAUUUCGAACUGUCAGACUAGAGUGUGGUAGAGGGUAGUGGAAUUUCCUGUGUAGCGGUGAAAUGCGUAGAUAUAGGAAGGAACACCAGUGGCGAAGGCGGCUACCUGGACCAACACUGACACUGAG
rnacentral:rRNA from 1 species